AUGGCCAUGAGGGCCCCUGCUCAGCUCCUGGGGCUCCUGCUGCUCUGCCUCCCAGGGGUCAGAUGUGACAUCACAAUGACCCAGUCUCCAUCGUCCUUGCCUGUGUCUCGUGGAGACAGAGUCACCAUCACCUGCAGGGACAGUCAGAGCAUUAGCAAUAGAUUACACUGGUAUCAGCAAAAAACAGGUCAAUCUCCUAAGCUCCUCAUCAAUGGUGCAUCCAAUCUACAACCUGGAGUCCCCUCGAGGUUCAGUGGCAGUGGAUCUGGGACAGAUUUCACUCUCACCAUCAUCAGCCUGGAGCCUGAAGAUGUUGCUAAUUAUUUCUGUCAACAAGGCUACAGUUACCCUCCCACAAGAUUUCCAGGUGAUGCUGACCCCACAGCUCCUGUUGUAGAUGCCACCGAUGCUGACAACAACCACCACCCUACUGCUGCUACAAUGGCCUAG